rnacentral:rRNA from 1 species
AGAGUUCGAUCCUGGCUCAGGAUGAACGCUGGCGGCGUGCUUAACACAUGCAAGUCGAACGAGAAGUGAAGACGGAAACCUUCGGGCGGAAGACUUUAUUUCGAGUGGCGGACGGGUGAGUAACGCGUGGGUAACCUGCCUCAUACAGGGGGAUAACAGUUGGAAACGACUGUUAAUACCGCAUAAGACCACAGCACCGCAUGGUGCGGGGGUAAAAACUCCGGUGGUAUGAGAUGGACCCGCGUUCGAUUAGCCAGUUGGCGGGGUAACGGCCCACCAAAGCGACGAUCGAUAGCCGAUCUGAGAGGAUGACCGGCCACAUUGGGACUGAGACACGGCCCAAACUCCUACGGGAGGCAGCAGUGGGGAAUAUUGCACAAUGGGGGAAACCCUGAUGCAGCGACGCCGCGUGAGUGAAGAAGUAUUUCGGUAUGUAAAGCUCUAUCAGCAGGGAAGAAAAUGACGGUACCUGAGUAAGAAGCCCCGGCUAACUACGUGCCAGCAGCCGCGGUAAUACGUAGGGGGCAAGCGUUAUCCGGAUUUACUGGGUGUAAAGGGAGCGCAGACGGCUCUGCAAGUCUGAAGUGAAAGCCCGCGGCUUAACCGCGGGACUGCUUUGGAAACUGCAAGGCUUGAGUAUCGGAGGGGCAGGCGGAAUUCCUAGUGUAGCGGUGAAAUGCGUAGAUAUUAGGAAGAACACCGGUGGCGAAGGCGGCCUGCUGGACGAAAACUGACGUUGAGGCUCGAAGGCGUGGGGAGCAAACAGGAUUAGAUACCCUGGUAGUCCACGCGGUAAACGAUGAAUACUAGGUGUUGGUGCCCGAAGGGCAUCGGUGCCGUCGCAAACGCAAUAAGUAUUCCACCUGGGGAGUACGUUCGCAAGAAUGAAACUCAAAGGAAUUGACGGGGACCCGCACAAGCAGUGGAGCAUGUGGUUUAAUUCGAAGCAACGCGAAGAACCUUACCAAAUCUUGACAUCCUUCUGACCGCACCGUAAUGGGUGCUUUCCUUCGGGACAGGAGUGACAGGUGGUGCAUGGUUGUCGUCAGCUCGUGUCGUGAGAUGUUGGGUUAAGUCC